AGAGUUUGAUCAUGGCUCAGGACGAACGCUGGCGGCGUGCCUAAUACAUGCAAGUAGAACGCUGAAGAAAGGAGCUUGCUUCUUUUGGAUGAGUUGCGAACGGGCGAGUAACGCGUAGGUAACCUGCCUUGUAGCGGGGGAUAACUAUUGUCAAACGAUAGCUAAUACCGCAUAACAGCUUUUGACACAUGUUAGAAGCUUGAAAGAUGCAAUUGCAUCACUACGAGAUGGACCUGCGUUGUAUUAGCUAGUAGGUAGGGUAACGGCCUACCUAGGCGACGAUACAUAGCCGACCUGAGAGGGUGAUCGGCCACACUGGGACUGAGACACGGCCCAGACUCCUACGGGAGGCAGCAGUAGGGAAUCUUCGGCAAUGGGGGCAACCCUGACCGAGCAACGCCGCGUGAGUGAAGAAGGUUUUCGGAUCGUAAAGCUCUGUUGUAAGAGAAGAACGUGUGUGAGAGUGGAAAGUUCACACAGUGACGGUAACUUACCAGAAAGGGACGGCUAACUACGUGCCAGCAGCCGCGGUAAUACGUAGGUCCCGAGCGUUGUCCGGAUUUAUUGGGCGUAAAGCGAGCGCAGGCGGUUUAAUAAGUCUGAAGUUAAAGGCAGUGGCUUAAUCAUUGUUCGCUUUGGAAACUGUUAAACUUGAGUGCAGAAGGGGAGAGUGGAAUUCCAUGUGUAGCGGUGAAAUGCGUAGAUAUAUGGAGGAACACCGGUGGCGAAAGCGGCUCUCUGGUCUGUAACUGACGCUGAGGCUCGAAAGCGUGGGGAGCAAACAGGAUUAGAUACCCUGGUAGUCCACGCCGUAAACGAUGAGUGCUAGGUGUUAGGCCCUUUCCGGGGCUUAGUGCCGCAGCUAACGCAUUAAGCACUCCGCCUGGGGAGUACGACCGCAAGGUUGAAACUCAAAGGAAUUGACGG
rnacentral:rRNA from 1 species